rnacentral:rRNA from 1 species
UACGUAGGGAGCGAGCGUUAUCCGGAAUUAUUGGGCGUAAAGGGUGCGUAGAUGGUUGAUAUAAGUCUUUUGUAAAAAUGCUAGGCUCAACCUAGUAGGGCAAAAGAUACUGAUGAACUAGAGUACGGCAGAGGCAAGUGGAACUACAUGUGUAGCGGUAAAAUGCGUAAAUAUAUGUAAGAACACCGGUGGCGAAGGCGGCUUACUGGACGAUGACUGACGCUGAGGCUCGAAAGCGUGGGGAGCAAACAGG